rnacentral:rRNA from 1 species
GAUAAACGCUGGCGGCGUGCUUAACACAUGCAAGUCGAACGAAGUUUUUCCUUCGGGAGACACUUAGUGGCGGACGGGUGAGUAACGCGUGGGUAACCUGCCCUGUACAGGGGGACAACAGCUGGAAACGGCUGCUAAUACCGCAUAAGCCCUUAGCACUGCAUGGUGCAUAGGGAAAAGGAGCAAUCCGGUACAGGAUGGACCCGCGUCUGAUUAGCCAGUUGGCAGGGUAACGGCCUACCAAAGCGACGAUCAGUAGCCGAUCUGAGAGGAUGUACGGCCACAUUGGGACUGAGACACGGCCCAGACUCCUACGGGAGGCAGCAGUGGGGAAUAUUGCACAAUGGAGGAAACUCUGAUGCAGCGACGCCGCGUGAGUGAAGAAGUAUUUCGGUAUGUAAAGCUCUAUCAGCAGGGAAGAAAAUGACGGUACCUGACGAAGAAGCACCGGCUAAAUACGUG